rnacentral:lncRNA from 1 species
GGAGAGGAGAACUUGGAGGACCUGGAAGGAGAACUUGGAGACAAGACCAGAUGACCCAUUGCCUACAGAGAGUCGGUAGCCUGAAGACUGGGACCAAGCCAGAUCUCUUCUUGACGGUCCUCCCGGUGUGGUCUCCAGGUCGCCGCUUCAAGAUUCUGCCAUUGUAUCUGUGGCAGCAGCCUGCCCCUCAGCCUGCCGGCCAGCCACCCAAUGAAGGAGAGAAGUCAUCCUCACACCUCCCCCGACCCCGCCUCAGACUCACACCUAGCAGUCCCCCCUCGCCUGUACCGGAGCAGCCUUCCUGAGACCCACGGAGGCGAGGACGUCUGCUGGGAACGUUCAAGUUUGAAGAGCCCACUAGGACUGCAGUCUGCAUUUGGCCAUUGAAGCAUAAGGUAGAGUGCUCCAUUACACCCUAUUGGUUCCUG